rnacentral:rRNA from 1 species
CCUACGGGAGGCAGCAGUGAGGAAUAUUGGUCAAUGGGCGUAAGCCUGAACCAGCCAAGUCGCGUGAGGGAUGAAGGUUCUAUGGAUCGUAAACCUCUUUUAUAAGGGAAUAAAGUGUGGGACGUGUCCUAUUUUGUAUGUACCUUAUGAAUAAGGAUCGGCUAACUCCGUGCCAGCAGCCGCGGUAAUACGGAGGAUCCGAGAGUUAUCCGGAUUUAUUGGGUUUAAAGGGUGCGUAGGCGGCCUUGUAAGUCAGCGGUGAAAGUCUGUGGGUCAACCAUAGAAUUGCCGUUUAAAGUGGGGGGCUUGAGUAUGUUUGAGGCAGGCGGAAGGCGUGGUGUAGCGGUGAAAUGCUUAGAUAUCACGCAGAACCCCGAUUGCGAAGGCAGCCUGCCAAGCCAUGACUGACGCUGAUGCACGAAAGCGUGGGGAUCAAACAGGAUUAGAUACCCCGGUAGUC